GUGGAUAUUCUCAACUGCUACAUUAUCCAGCUGAUAUGAUGUAGCUGGAAUAUACCACACAGAUUAAGAUGGUUCUCACCGACAGGCCCUGUGGAGUUAGCAGGGUUUCUGUGCGAUGGUUCCUAACAUC